rnacentral:rRNA from 1 species
GAUGAACGCUGGCGGCGUGCCUAAUACAUGCAAGUCGAACGCACAGCGAAAGGUGCUUGCACCUUUCAAGUGAGUGGCGAACGGGUGAGUAACACGUGGACAACCUGCCUCAAGGCUGGGGAUAACAUUUGGAAACAGAUGCUAAUACCGAAUGAAACUUAGUGUCGCAUGAUACGAAGUUAAAAGGCGCUUUGGCGUCACCUAGAGAUGGAUCCGCGGUGCAUUAGUUAGUUGGUGGGGUAAAGGCCUACCAAGACAAUGAUGCAUAGCCGAGUUGAGAGACUGAUCGGCCACAUUGGGACUGAGACACGGCCCAAACUCCUACGGGAGGCUGCAGUAGGGAAUCUUCCACAAUGGGCGAAAGCCUGAUGGAGCAACGCCGCGUGUGUGAUGAAGGCUUUCGGGUCGUAAAGCACUGUUGUAUGGGAAGAACAGCUAGAAUAGGGAAUGAUUUUAGUUUGACGGUACCAUACCAGAAAGGGACGGCUAAAUACGUGCCAGCAGCCGCGGUAAUACGUAUGUCCCGAGCGUUAUCCGGAUUUAUUGGGCGUAAAGCGAGCGCAGACGGUUGAUUAAGUCUGAUGUGAAAGCCCGGAGCUCAACUCCGGAAUGGCAUUGGAAACUGGUUAACUUGAGUGCAGUAGAGGUAAGUGGAACUC